rnacentral:rRNA from 1 species
GACGAACGCUGGCGGCGUGCCUAAUACAUGCAAGUCGAGCGGACUUUCAAGAAGCUUGCUUUUUGAAAGUUAGCGGCGGACGGGUGAGUAAAACGUGGGCAACCUGCCUGCAAGACGGGGAUAACUCCGGGAAACCGGGGCUAAUACCGGAUAAUAUCUUCCUUCGCAUGAAGGAAGGUUGAAAGGCGGCGCAAGCUGCCGCUUGCAGAUGGGCCCGCGGCGCAUUAGCUAGUUGGUGAGGUAACGGCUCACCAAGGCGACGAUGCGUAGCAGACCUGAGAGGGUGAUCGGCCACACUGGGACUGAGACACGGCCCAGACUCCUACGGGAGGCAGCAGUAGGGAAUCUUCCGCAAUGGACGAAAGUCUGACGGAGCAACGCCGCGUGAGCGAAGAAGGUCUUCGUAUCGUAAAGCUCUGUUGUCAGGGAAGAACAAGUACCGUUCGAACAGGGCGGUACCUUGACGGUACCUUACCAGAAAGCCACGGCUAACUACGUG